rnacentral:rRNA from 1 species
UACGUAGGGGGCGAGCGUUGUCCGGAUUUAUUGGGCGUAAAGAGCGUGUAGGCGGUUCGGUAAGUCUGUCGUGAAAUCCUGAGGCUCAACCUUGGACGUGCGAUGGAUACUGCCGGGCUAGAGGAUGGUAGAGGCGAGUGGAGUUCUCGGUGUAGCGGUGAAAUGCGCAGAUAUCGGGAGGAACACCAGUAGCGAAGGCGGCUCGCUGGGCCAUUCCUGACGCUGAGACGCGAAAGCUAGGGGAGCGAACAGG